GACGAACGCGGCGGCGUGCCUAAUACAUGCAAGUAGAACGCACAGUUUAUCCGUAGCUGGCUACCCCCAUAGACUGUGAGUUGCGAACCGGGUGAGUAACGCGUAGGUAACCUGCCUGGUAGCGGGGGAUAACUAUUGGAAACGAUAGCUAAUACCGCAUAAUAUUAAUUAUUGCAUGAUAAUUAAUUGAAAGGUGCAAUUGCACCACUACCAGAUGGACCUGCGUUGUAUUAGCUAGUAGGUGAGGUAACGGCUCACCUAGGCGACGAUACAUAGCCGACCUGAGAGGGUGAUCGGCCACACUGGGACUGAGACACGGCCCAGACUCUUACGGGAGGCAGCAGUAGGGAAUCUUCGGCAAUGGACGAAAGUCUGACCGAGCAACCGCCGCGUGAGUGAAGAAGGUUUUCGGAUCGUAAAGCUCUGUUGUAAGAGAAGAACGGGUGUGAGAGUGAAAGUUCACA
rnacentral:rRNA from 1 species